GAUGAAGAACGUAGCGAAAUGCGAUAAGUAAUGUGAAUUGCAGAAUUCAGUGAAUCAUCGAAUCUUUGAACGCACAUUGCGCCCGCCAGUAUUCUGGCGGGCAUGCCUGUUCGAGCGUCAUUACAACCCUCAGGCCCCCGGGCCUGGCGUUGGGGAUCGGCGGAAGCCCCCUGUGGGCACACGCCGUCCCUCAAAUACAGUGGCGGUCCCGCCGCAGCUUCCAUUGCGUAGUAGCUAACACCUCGCAACUGGAGAGCGGCGCGGCCAUGCCGUAAAACACCCAACUUCUCAGGUUGACCUCAGAUCAGGUAGGAAUACCCGCUGAACUUAAGCAUAUCAAUAAGCGGAGGA
rnacentral:misc_RNA from 1 species